AGACCUGGUGGCCAUGGCGGAGGAUCCAUACCCGAUCCCAUCCCGAACUCGGCCGUUAAAGCCUCCAGCGCCUAUGAUACUGCUCCUUAAGGAGCGGAAAAGUCGGUCGCCGCCAGGUCCCC
rnacentral:rRNA from 1 species